rnacentral:rRNA from 1 species
AUUGAACGCUGGCGGAAUGCUUUACACAUGCAAGUCGAACGGCAGCACGGGGGCAGCCCUGGUGGCGAGUGGCGAACGGGUGAGUAAUACAUCGGAACGUGCCCGGUCGUGGGGGAUAACGUAGCGAAAGUUACGCUAAUACCGCAUACGAUCUGAGGAUGAAAGCGGGGGACCUUCGGGCCUCGCGCGAUCGGAGCGGCCGAUGUCAGAUUAGGUAGUUGGUGGGGUAAAGGCCUACCAAGCCGACGAUCUGUAGCUGGUCUGUGAGGACGACCAGCCACACUGGGACUGAGACACGGCCCAGACUCCUACGGGAGGCAGCAGUGGGGAAUUUUGGACAAUGGGCGCAAGCCUGAUCCAGCCAUUCCGCGUGCAGGACGAAGGCCUUCGGGUUGUAAACUGCUUUUGUACGGAACGAAAAGGCUCUGGCUAAUACCUGGGGCUCAUGACGGUACCGUAAGAAUAAGCACCGGCUAACUACGUG